AGCAUCUAUAGCUCAGGGGCAAAGCAUUUGUUUUGCAAGCAGAAGGUCUCAGGUUCAAUCCCCGGGUAGGGCUG